rnacentral:lncRNA from 1 species
AUGAGGAAACAGAAGCUCAUUGAAGGCAACUUGAAGGUGGAUCUACAUGUCCCUCCCCCACAUUAGACCACAAGAGGCUCAAAGAUAGGGAGAAAUGCACACUCAUGUUAAAGCUGCAUUAUUCACAACAGCCAAAAGGUGGAAGCAAGACAAUUAAUUCUCACAGAAACUCUUGGAGGUAGCUGCAAGAGCUGCUAGGGACCUCGAUUAGAGUUAUUACAUAUGGACCCUCAUGAAUCAGAGGAAGAACGAGGCCUGGAGUCAUGAAGGGGCUUAACUGAAGUCACAAGGCUCACGGCAGGACCAGUAUCAAAAUAGACCCCAAUGUGCGGCAGGCUCAUCAGUGGAAGUGACUUACCCUGUCUCAGAUGAGGCUUUGUACUGUGGACUUUCGAGUCCAGGGUAGGAGAUACUUCUCCAGGCUCUCACUUAUGGGGGCUUUCCUGCUGGCUACAUCACUGAAAUGGAAUCUCCUAGUGGCCCUUCUCCCUCUACAGCUCUGGUGUUACACUGAAAAACUAGAAGUUUCAAAACAGACAAGGGAAAAAGAGAAACAUCAGAAAGUCUGAUUAAAGUAGAAGCAUCAUAUUUCUAUCAACGUAUCCACUGUGCUUGGACACAAUUGCAGGCCCUUGACAUCUUUUGCCUGGAUUAUUGCAACAGCCUCCAAAAGGACUCGUCUGUCUCCAUGAUACCCCUCCAUCCUCCUCUGCAUCAUCACCAAGGGAAUCUUUGUAAAGCAAAGGCAUGAUCAUGCUUAUCACCUGGUGGAAACCCUUCAGAGACUCUCCACUCCCCAGAGCAGGCACCACAUCGUU